GAUGAAGAACGUAGUGAAAUGCGAUAAGUAAUGCGAAUUGCAGAAUUUCCGUGAGUCAUCGAAUCUUUGAACGCAUAUUGCGCCCUUUGGUAUUCCGAGGGGCAUGCCUGUUCGAGCGUCAUUAUCACAAUAUCAAGCUAGGCUUGUUGUUGGGCCCUUUGUCACCUGGUGACAGGUCCAAAAGACAAUAACCGGUGUCAUACAGACUCUAUAUGCAACGAGCUUAUAACAGCACGCAUCUGGUGGUCAUGUGGCCUGGUUCUCACCUCUAUUUUUCAAGGUUGACCUCGGAUCAGGUAGGAAUACCCGCUGAACUUAAGCAUAUCAAUAAGCGGAGGA
rnacentral:misc_RNA from 1 species